GAAAACAAUUUAAGUUACAAUCGAUGAUUAUAGACCUAUAGAAAUGGUUCCAUGGCAAAAAAAAGUAAAAGCAUGGAAGCAUAAACAAUAACUAAAAUUCGGUCCAUCCACUCAACCAAAGCAGUAAGGCUAAAGGCGUUAGAUGAAGCGAUGACGAUUUUAGUUGUUCUUUACGAUAUUGUUGCUGGAGAAGAAGGGUUUAAAGCAAGGAGAAGGAGCCUAAUUGCAUAUAUACAA
rnacentral:sRNA from 1 species